UUCAGCUUUGGCAUCCUCAUAUGGAACAGAGGGGGUAAGAUAUAGGACCUGAUGGCCUAGGCCACAAACAGAGAAAUACUGUGUUUGCUGGAGUAAACUGAGAGACUAUGGCAUUCUGAAGGCCAGUUUGAUAAGUGAUAGCUUCUGGCAGCAGCAUAGCUGCUACAAGAAACGCUGAGACUUAAAGUCAAAAGGAACUGGGAGUACCUGCCAAAGGAAGUCAGCUACUCUGAUCGACUAAGGGGCAAUGGACACUUUUUGAGAGCCAAAUGCUGAGGGUAAAUUGCAAAAAAGACUCAACUCUGCUAUUCAAAUGGACUACAGUUUAAUAAGAAGAGACUGCCAGUGGCAAAAGAGUAUAAUAUGUGCUACGGAUCUCUCAGCGGUUAAAGCUCAGAUGGAACCCCCUUAUGAAAUAUCCACAAGAUGCUGCUGAGGUGCUCAAGAACUUGUCUGCAGUCCUUGCCUAAGCAGGUUUUCCAACCAAACAAAAACAUCUGCAUGCUGACUUCGAACUUAGUAAAGUCUCAUGUAGAUGGUGAUCAUCAUGACAGAAGUGAUUUUUUUCUCAUUCCUUUUGUGUAUCUCUGAAGUUCCUACUCUGGGCCUUUAACCUAGCACUGUCAUCACCAAACUGUCAGUCCUUGAUUAUCAUCAAUGGUGGAACAACCCUGCCCCAGCUUAUGACAGCAACAAAUUGAGACUCAUCCUUCAGUUAUGUGCACGUAAAUUAUCUAUGCUACCUGAAAGAUUAUUUUUUCACUUACCAAGGUUUUAGCAACUCUAAUUAACGUAUAAUGUUUAGUCUAGAUAUCCAUCUAGAUAUCCAUCAAUUGACUUAACUGAAUUUUAGCUAUCCGAUUGCCUAAAUAAACUUGAUAUAUAACUAUUGUAUAGUCAGAUAAGAAUUUUUAACAUUAAUGAAGAAUUGUUUAAUGGACAAUAACAGUCCCAUUAUUUAAACACUAAAAAGCUAAGUGCUACAGUCAAAAAUUAAACUAAGCUAUUUCUUGAAUUAUUAAUCUAUUUCCACUUAGAUGUCCUCCUUAGAACAUUUUAUAAUCUGAAACACUUGUGACUGUUUUAUGAUUGUUAAAUUUUUACUGAAGGAGUUAAAGCAUUUUCUGCCUAAUACACCUACAAAAAUAACCUUAUUUAACUUGACAAACACAGUCCAAUACAUAUUUAAGCUAUUUUGAAAAUAAUGGAAAAAUCUUAUUAAUAACUGUUUUCUCUUGUGGGGUGUGGUGAAUAGUAAUUUAGGGCAGGUGAGAGCAAAGCAAUUUAACUUUUCCCUUGUUAGUUCCUUUGACCUACAAGUUUGGAGGUCUCUGCAGCACCCUUGAGCUUUUUCCACAGAAUAAAGUAAUAGUUGCUAAGACUUUGCCAAAAAAUAAAAAAAUAAAAAACUAUCUGUUUUGCUGUUA